rnacentral:rRNA from 1 species
ACGAAAGUCUGACCGAGCAACGCCGCGUGAGUGAAGAAGGUUUUCGGAUCGUAAAGCUCUGUUGUAAGUCAAGAACGUGUGUGAGAGUGGAAAGUUCACACAGUGACGGUAGCUUACCAGAAAGGGACGGCUAACUACGUGCCAGCAGCCGCGGUAAUACGUAGGUCCCGAGCGUUGUCCGGAUUUAUUGGGCGUAAAGGGAGCGCAGGCGGUCAGGAAAGUCUGGAGUAAAAGGCUAUGGCUCAACCAUAGUGUGCUCUGGAAACUGUCUGACUUGAGUGCAGAAGGGGAGAGUGGAAUUCCAUGUGUAGCGGUGAAAUGCGUAAGAUAUAUGGAGGAACACCAGUGGCGAAAGCGGCUCUCUGGUCUGUCACUGACGCUGAGGCUCGAAAGCGUGGGUAGCGAACAGGAUUAGAUACCCUGGUAGUCCACGCCGUAAACGAUGAGUGCUAGGUGUUAGGCCCUUUCCGGGGCUUAGUGCCGGA